AGCGUACACGGUGGAUGCCCUGGCAGUCAGAGGCGAUGAAGGACGUGCUAAUCUGCGAAAAGCGACGGCGAGGUGAUAUGAACCCCUGACCCGUCGAUGUCCGAAUGGGGAAACCCAGUGCAAUCCGUUGCACUAUCGUUAACUGAAUACAUAGGUUAACGAGGCGAACCGGGGGAACUGAAACAUCUAAGUACCCCGAGGAAAAGAAAUCAACCGAGAUUCCCCCAGUAGCGGCGAGCGAACGGGGAGCAGCCCGGAGUCUGAAUCAGCUUGUGUGUUAGUGGAACGGUCUGGAAAGUCCGACGGUACAGGGUGAUAGUCCCGUACACGAAAACACACUUGUUGUGAACUCGAAGAGUAGGGCGGGACACGUGGUAUCCUGUCUGAAUAUGGGGGGACCAUCCUCCAAGGCUAAAUACUCCUGACUGACCGAUAGUGAACCAGUACCGUGAGGGAAAGGCGAAAAGAACCCCGGCGAGGGGAGUGAAAAAGAACCUGAAACCGUGUACGUACAAGCAGUGGGAGCCUCUUUAUGGGGUGACUGCGUACCUUUUGUAUAAUGGGUCAGCGACUUAUAUUCUGUAGCAAGGUUAACCGUAUAGGGGAGCCGAAGGGAAACCGAGUCUUAACUGGGCGUUAAGUUGCAGGGUAUAGACCCGAAACCCGGUGAUCUAGCCAUGGGCAGGUUGAAGGUUGGGUAACACUAACUGGAGGACCGAACCGACUAAUGUUGAAAAAUUAGCGGAUGACCUGUGGCUGGGGGUGAAAGGCCAAUCAAACCGGGAGAUAGCUGGUUCUCCCCGAAAGCUAUUUAGGUAGCGCCUCGUGAAUUCAUCUUCGGGGGUAGAGCACUGUUUCGGCUAGGGGGCCAUCCCGGCUUACCAACCCGAUGCAAACUACGAAUACCGAAGAAUGUUAUCACGGGAGACACACGGCGGGUGCUAACGUCCGUCGUGAAGAGGGAAACAACCCAGACCGCCAGCUAAGGUCCCAAAGUCAUGGUUAAGUGGGAAACGAUGUGGGAAGGCACAGACAGCCAGGAUGUUGGCUUAGAAGCAGCCAUCAUUUAAAGAAAGCGUAAUAGCUCACUGGUCGAGUCGGCCUGCGCGGAAGAUGUAACGGGGCUAAACCAUGCACCGAAGCUGCGGCAGCGACACUAUGUGUUGUUGGGUAGGGGAGCGUUCUGUAAGCCGUUGAAGGUGGCCUGUGAGGGUUGCUGGAGGUAUCAGAAGUGCGAAUGCUGACAUAAGUAACGAUAAAGCGGGUGAAAAGCCCGCUCGCCGGAAGACCAAGGGUUCCUGUCCAACGUUAAUCGGGGCAGGGUGAGUCGACCCCUAAGGCGAGGCCGAAAGGCGUAGUCGAUGGGAAACAGGUUAAUAUUCCUGUACUUGGUGUUACUGCGAAGGGGGGACGGAGAAGGCUAUGUCAGCCGGGCGACGGUUGUCCCGGUUUAAGCAUGUAGGCGGAGGUUCCAGGUAAAUCCGGUACCUUUUAACGCUGAGGUGUGAUGACGAGGCACUACGGUGCUGAAGUGAUAAAUGCCCUGCUUCCAGGAAAAGCCUCUAAGCAUCAGGUAACACGAAAUCGUACCCCAAACCGACACAGGUGGUCAGGUAGAGAAUACCAAGGCGCUUGAGAGAACUCGGGUGAAGGAACUAGGCAAAAUGGUGCCGUAACUUCGGGAGAAGGCACGCUGAUAUGUAGGUGAAGUCCCUGCGGACGGAGCUGAAAUCAGUCGAAGAUACCAGCUGGCUGCAACUGUUUAUUAAAAACACAGCACUGUGCAAACACGAAAGUGGACGUAUACGGUGUGACGCCUGCCCGGUGCCGGAAGGUUAAUUGAUGGGGUUAGCGGCAACGCGAAGCUCUUGAUCGAAGCCCCGGUAAACGGCGGCCGUAACUAUAACGGUCCUAAGGUAGCGAAAUUCCUUGUCGGGUAAGUUCCGACCUGCACGAAUGGCGUAAUGAUGGCCAGGCUGUCUCCACCCGAGACUCAGUGAAAUUGAACUCGCUGUGAAGAUGCAGUGUACCCGCGGCAAGACGGAAAGACCCCGUGAACCUUUACUAUAGCUUGACACUGAACACUGGUCCUUGAUGUGUAGGAUAGGUGGGAGGCUUUGAAGCGUGGACGCCAGUCUGCGUGGAGCCAACCUUGAAAUACCACCCUUUAAUGGCUGGUGUUCUAACGUAGACCCGUAAUCCGGGUUGCGGACAGUGUCUGGUGGGUAGUUUGACUGGGGCGGUCUCCUCCCAAAGAGUAACGGAGGAGCACGAAGGUUGGCUAAUCCUGGUCGGACAUCAGGAGGUUAGUGCAAUGGCAUAAGCCAGCUUGACUGCGAGCGUGACGGCGCGAGCAGGUGCGAAAGCAGGUCAUAGUGAUCCGGUGGUUCUGAAUGGAAGGGCCAUCGCUCAACGGAUAAAAGGUACUCCGGGGAUAACAGGCUGAUACCGCCCAAGAGUUCAUAUCGACGGCGGUGUUUGGCACCUCGAUGUCGGCUCAUCACAUCCUGGGGCUGAAGUAGGUCCCAAGGGUAUGGCUGUUCGCCAUUUAAAGUGGUACGCGAGCUGGGUUUAGAACGUCGUGAGACAGUUCGGUCCCUAUCUGCCGUGGGCGCUGGAGAAUUGAGGGGGGCUGCUCCUAGUACGAGAGGACCGGAGUGGACGCAUCACUGGUGUUCGGGUUGUCAUGCCAAUGGCACUGCCCGGUAGCUAAAUGCGGAAGAGAUAAGUGCUGAAAGCAUCUAAGCACGAAACUUGCCCCGAGAUGAGUUCU
rnacentral:rRNA from 1 species